UACGUCGGGUGCAAGCGUUAAUCGGAAUUACUGGGCGUAAAGCGUGCGCAGGCGGUUGUGCAAGACAGAUGUGAAAUCCCCGGGCUCAACCUGGGAACUGCAUUUGUGACUGCACGGCUAGAGUGUGUCAGAGGGGGGUAGAAUUCCACGUGUAGCAGUGAAAUGCGUAGAUAUGUGGAGGAAUACCGAUGGCGAAGGCAGCCCCCUGGGAUAACACUGACGCUCAUGCACGAAAGCGUGGGGAGCAAACAGG
rnacentral:rRNA from 1 species